UCUUCUGCGCCUCUCUUAUUCCAGCCAGAUCAUGAAACUUUGUGAAUGGUAAUUCAUCUCAUCUCCCUUCUUCUCUAUCGACAGUUGUCUCAAUUGAAAUUCUAAUCUUGAUUUAAAUGAUGAUUUUCAUCGGAGGUUCUACUCCUUGAUUUUGGUGGGAACAUGAAACUUUGUGAAUCGCAAUUUACCUUCUUGUAAACUUUAUGCGGCGGCUAUGUGGGUUUCCGAUUAUCAAGUCUUCUAUAAUCACUUCAUUCAGGGAAGUUGGAGCUUUGUUCUUUUAUUAUCUUUCCAUUGCUUCUCGGUUCUGUUUAUAUGAAUCUAGGGUUUCAUGAGUUUCAAUUCGUAAACGAAAUGAGGAUUCAAUCUUCUGCCCUCUUUCGUUCAUGCAGGAUCAUGAAACUUUGUCAUUAUUAUAUGAUUAACGGUAAUUCAUCUCCUUUCUUUUCCACCGAUAGUUUGCUUUCCCAAUUCAACCCCUUCGUUUGUGGGUUCUUUUAGAAUGCUUGUCUUUACUUAUGUAAAAUUAGGGUUUCAAGAAUUGGCAUCUGGAAAGGAGAUUUCAAUCCUCUGCCAUCUCCUAGUUUCGUCGGAUCGUGAAAUUUUACGAGUUUAAUGUGACUAAUAGUCCUUCUCUCCACUCAUAAUUUGUUUUCUGAAUAUUAAAUACUUACAUGAAGUUGGGAAAUAUGUUGACGAGGCCUUGUUUCUGGGUUCUUUUAGAAAGUACUCGCGACAUAUUUCAAAACUCAUCUUGUUCCCGAUGUAUCAAAAGGUCAAAACCACAGAUUGAUUGUCAUUACUGGUUUUUAUUUGAUUAGUGAUCCAUCUGUCCCAUUUCGGUAUUUGAAUAUCAAAUUCUGAUGAUGUAGUGGACGUUGAUAACAUAAAAUGGCUAGGAUGGUGUUCAACCAUAUUUCAAGAUUAUGAAAUGGGUAGGCCCUACUUUUUUUGAUAAGUUUUCAUCAAUCUUCGGCAGAGUCCCUUCCCUGUACGGUUUUUUUGCCUCUGUUAAUUCUGAAAUCUGAUGGUUGGUGAAGUGGAAAGCAUAAACUUGUGGUUUACCUGAAAUAUGCUCUAAGAAAAAUCUUUCAGUUGCCCUUUUCCCCUUUGAACGACCCUUUUAACCAUAGGGUUCUAGAUGGGAACAUAUACAAGGUCAGCAAGCUGGUUUGCAAGAAAUUUGCUAUGAAACAGUCUUUGGAUUGCCCUUCUGCCCUUUGGACGAGCACGUUGUCUAUAGGGUCCUAGAUGGGGACCUAUUCAAAAUCCUAAAUCUGGUUUCCCCUGAAUAUGCUAUGACAGCAGUCGUAUGAUUGCCCUUCUGUCCUUCAGACGAGCCAUUUGUCUAAAGGGUCCUAGAUGGGAAUCUACUAUACAAGGUCAGUAAGCUAGUUUGCAAGAACUUUGCUAUGAAAUAGUCGGUAUGGUUGCCCUUCUGCCUUCAGACGAGCCAUUUUUCUAAAGGGUCCUAGAUGGGAAUCUAUUUUAGAAGUCUGAAAUCUGGUUUCCCAUAAAUAUACUAUGACAAUAGUCGGUAUGGUUUCCCUUCUACUCUUUAGACGAGCUAUUUGUCAAGAGGGUCCUAGAUGGGAAUCUAUUCAGGAUUUGUAAACUGGUUUUCCAUGAAUGUACUAUCACAAUAUUCAUUCAGUUGCCUUUCUGUCCUUUGGAUGAGCCCUUAUAUCUAUGGGAUCCUAGAUUGGAACCGAUUCAGAGUCCAUAAGUUGGGGUUUACCAUAAAUAUACUAUGACAAUAGUCUUUGGUUAUCCAUUCGGUUGCCCUUCUGUCCUUUGGAUGAGCCUUAUAUCUAUGGGAUCCUAGAUGAGAACCGAUUCAGAGUCCAUAAGUUGGGGUUUACCAUAAAUAUACUAUGACAACAGUCUUUGGGUUAUCCAUUCGGUUGCCCUUCUGUCCUUUGGAUGAACCUUAUAUCGAUGGGAUCCUAGGAUUCAGAGUCCAUAAGUUGGGGUUUACCAUAAAGAUACUAUGACAACAGUCUUUGGGUUAUCCUUCUGCCCUAAAUAUACUAUGACACCAGUCUUUGGGUUAUCUUUCUGCCCUUUGGGCUUCUAUUAAUACUAUACUACUGAUUUCGAAUGAUCUAUCAGAUUGUUCAUAUAUGGAUUAAACCACCCUUUCAACCCGAGGUACGUGUUCGGGGUCUGCUUUUCAAAUUGUGGUGCAUGGGAUUUAUAAUUUUAAUUUGUUAGUAAAGCUUCAACAAGGUCGCAUCUCUUCCUAGGGGUCAUAGACAGGAACCCCUUUUAGGUUAUCUAUGUUCCUAAUCAGAGGAUGUACAUAAUGUAACAUCUUAUCCUCUCUCCCUAGCAUCACUUGUAGUCCAGUACUCUCUCCCAAGUUUGGUUGUCCUUUUGCUCCAUUGGGGUCCUAGAAGGAAACCAUAUAUAUGUCCCUAAAAAGUUAAUCUUAUCUUGGUUCGAAUAUUUGAACUGGUUCCCCUUGUUAGCAAUCCUCUGAAUACCAUGUCAGUAAUUCUAGAAUAUAAUAUAGCAAACCGUUGGUUUGAAAUUGUGCGGCUAACUGAAUUGGGUUCUUUCACACUUUUGGACGUAUACUUUGGAGCUUAUAUACUUACAAUCAUUGGACUGCAUGUUGGUUUCUGAUAGUUGGUGUCAGAGACUUUUAUAUAAUGAAAUGCCUUGUCUUUAGUUAUGUAAAUUUAGGAUGUUAAGGUUUUUUCAUUGGAAGAAUGAGAUUUCAACCCUCUAUUGUCUCUAGUUUUGCCGGGUCAUGAAACUUUAUGAGUAUGAUGUGAUUAAUAGUUACUAUAUGCCCUUGCUUGUGAGUUCUUUCACAUAUUUACUUGAUGUUGGGAAAGAUUUUGAUUAGAAG
rnacentral:lncRNA from 1 species